CUUGGCUUCCUGUGAGAGAGAGAUCCCCUGGACUGCAAGGUAGGGGAGGCAUGACUGCUGCCCUGCAGUAAGGGGGUGGGAGUAUGAGAGAUACAUAGUUGCAAGAUGGGGGGAUAUAAGAAGGAGAGCAGCAGGGAGGGUACUCACCAGAGCAGAAGGAGCAGUCUGGAACAGCCCUUCCUCCCCAUUUUCCUAUGCAAUGUGAUAGUUUCUGGCUUGUGGUGUUGUUUGUUUCUGUUCUUGUUUUGUCACAGCUAUGGCGGAGUUCCUGGCCAGCGCACGUAAUGCACGGAAAGGAUUUGGGGAAUCGCAGCCUGCUAGGGCUGAUGGCUGAAGGCAGGCUGUACGAACUCUGGAUAAAGACUUGGAGUGUGGCGAAACCGACCUCGCCACUGGGCAUUGGAGAAGACUGAUUGCCAGCCUCCUGCCUGCUGACUACGGCCCCUGGGAGAUUUGGCCCUUUAAAUACAGUAUUUGGGCAUAUUGUAUUUUAUUAUGCUGCUGCUGGCCCUUUAAGAACCAUCUGGGGACAUACUGUGGAGUUACUGGGUGGCCACCAUUUCCUGUAUCAGAGGCACAUGGUGAGAACAAUGGAUGAAGCACAUGGUGAGAACAAUGGAUGGCGGCCAUUUUAACUCACAGACACUGUUUGGACUUUUCAACACGGUGCCAUCUCGCCAGUAUUUGGUGCACAGAGACAUCGUGCAGUGGUUUUGGACUAUACAGCAGGGGACACAUUAUACAGUGAUUGUUUUUCAUUUAGCCUGUAUAUGUUCUGCAGAAUCUGCAUUAAACUGUAUCUUCCAAAGUAUUUUUAUUGGGUUAUUGCAUGUUUUGGGGUCCCUGUGAUGUGUUUUAUGAAACUGUAUUUCUCUGUCUGUGCUAAUUAGAUUACCCAUUGUGUAAGGUAAUUGUAUUGCAGGUAGAGGGGAGGAUUUUGUGUGGGAGUGUCUGUGUGUAUUGUACAGAUUGAUUGGUUGUUCUGUAAAACCCUGUGGGCAGUACUAAAUUUGUGGAUUGGGAAUAAAAGAGGCUGUAUGUGCCAGUCCAGGCAGUUCAUGCUUAACCCUCAAAGUGAAGUGUCGUCUUAUUAUUGGGGGAGGAUUUAUUGUAUGCUGUUCCAGUUUGACUGCUAGGAGAGUAAACCUAUUCGUAUGGUUCCUAUUCAACUGUCUACAGCAUUCAUGUGCUUGAGAGCAUUCAUAUGCUCCUACGGUUCAGUGGUUUUGGUGUCUGCUGCAGUGCUUGGAGUCCUCAGGAAGUGCUAGGAGCAUCCUUCAACGGAGGUACCCAGUCGGGGUCCCAGGUGAUCCGUUACAUGAAGUAUCUGUCUGUUGGGUAGUCACCCCAACAGCUGACAGGUGGAUAUGCUGGCUGUGUUAAAGUUUAAUAAAGCUGUGGCCGUUGCCCUUACCCAACAAUCAGGUGUCAUGUCGUUAUUGGGGGUAACAGGUUUGGUAUUUCUGUCAGCAGUCAAGUGAAGGCAGAGAGGCCUUUAACAUUUAACCACAGGGGAAGUACAUGUUGUAUGUGUGGUGUGCAACACAAAGCUACAUUUAGUUAUGGGCCCCUGGGGUGGAGCAUUUGGAGAGCAGGGUGGGCCAAUGCUCCACACCUCAGUUUAUACACAACUGGGAGAAAUAAGGUCCAGGCCAGAGUUUUUUGGAACUGUCUCCAACCCACUGCUCAGCAGGGGAUAAACCCCUCCCUGCUAAGCAGGGGAUUGCUGGCUUCUCUCCCGUGAGAGAGUCAAGGAGACUGAGCACUGGGAGUGCAAAAGGAAAGCAGUCAAGGCUGGCUUGUAGCACUGGGAGUGCAGAAGGAAAGCAGUUAAGGCUGGCUUGGAGCACUGGGAGUGCAGAAGGAAAGCAGUUAAGGCUGGCUUGGAGCACUGGGAGCACAGAACGAAGCAGUCAAGGCUGGCUUGGAGCAUUGGGAGUGCAGAAGGAAACAAGUCAAGGCUGGCUUGGAGCACUGGGAGUGCAGAAAGGAAAGCAGUCAAGGCUAGCUGAUAAAUUGCCUGGAUUAUAUGUGCCUGUUGUUUACGCUAGUGGACCGUGCUAUCUGCAAACAAGGAUCACAUUCCCUUUUGACUAUCCCAUCUCUGUAUUCCUUGACCUUUGGCUUGGCUCCUGACUAUUCUGAUAUCUCCAUUCCUUGACCCGUAGCUUGUUUAUCAUUUACGUUAUUUCUAGGUCUUGUCUUUACCCUGUCUUGUGGCUACUUACCUUUUAUACAUUAAUUAUGGCCAUUCUAAGGUACAGUAAUACGUCUUAGGUAUUUUCUUAUUAUCUACUUAAGUUCUGCAUAUUGGGCAUCUACAGUACUCCUGACAUAAUGGCACUUUAUAGUGCUAAGGGGAAUUGGUGGGGGGGAGGUUUGCCUGCCUGUUUUUCCCUCCAGAUUAGAUCCCUGUUGUAAUGCACUGCCUCUUAUCUUCAGGAAAAAUACAUUUAUGGUCAGUAAAAAUUUUCUUUGUCAUAGAAAUAGAAUUACGAUGGGGCACUACUUAAACAUAAGGCAUUCCAGCAAGCUGACGUGUUUCAUUGUGUGUCGAGUGCUCCUUUUAAAAGUGAAUUUCAAAUAUAAGGUCAAAAUGUCAAAGUCCGCUAUGUUCUCAGAUUGACUAUUUUGGCCUAAAAUUCACCCCAACUUCCUGAAAAUUUUCACUGUACAGGUUUAUACACUAAAGUGAGAAUUAUUGGCAUCUCUAAAGGGAAUUCAAUAUAUAUAUAGUUUCAGUGGAAGUAGGCUGAUAUUGGCAGUGUUCCUUUACAAACUGGGGCACCGGGUCAGGGGACCUCUUCAUCCAACAACCUUCGUAAAGACCGUUGAUUGCUUAGAGUGUCCCUUUCAGCAUCACUUGUAGUAAAUAACAAACAUUGUUUGAAAGUCUCCCCAGUCUAGCCCUCCUGUGGGUGGUCAGCAGGAUCAAAGCCAGUUUGACUCUUGUUUAGUGUUUGUUUGUUCUCCAAAUACCCCACAUCUCCCCAUUUUGUCUGGAUUAUACUGUCUCAUUCUGCUGCAUCCUGUUAAUAUGUUUCAUUCCUGUCUGAUCACAUGGGUAUCAAUUUGCAGCAAGCUUUUACGGAAACCAAGGCCAAAUGGUUGUUUGGCCAGUGAUGGAGAACAGAGGCGGCUCUCUAAUUAGGUGGUUUAGGCGGCCGCCUAAGGCCUUGCGCUGUGUGGGGCCUCGCAGCCGCCUAAGCCGCCAUAGAGCAUACUGACAUGUCGGGUCCUCGAGGACCUGACACAGGAGGGGACCCGGCGGCUUGCCUUGUAUGCCGCCGGGUGCGAGGCCCCUCCUGUCAUUCUGCCCGGGAGAGCCAGCCUUCAGUCUGCAGCUCUGCCGGGUGUGAGAUGCAGACUGAAGUGUCUCGCGAUCUCUAGCCAAUCAGAGCGUUGCCGCUCUGGAGAUCGCGAGACAUUCACCAUGUGGUCUGCAGAGCUGCAGACCGCAGAGCCCACUGGACCACCAGGGAGUCUGACUGCCACCAGCAGAGCUGCAGACCGCAGAGCCCACUGGACCAUCAAGGAGUCUGACUGCCACCACUGGACCACCAGGGACUCUGCCACCACUGGACCACCAGGGAAAAAGGUACCUGUCACCGCCCUCACCUUGUCACCCUGCCACCCCAUCUGUCACCCUGCCACCCCACCUGUCACCUCCUCACCCUGUCACCCCACCUGUCACCCUGCCACCCCAACUGUCACCUCCUCACCCUGUCACCCCACUUGUUACCCUCCCCCACCCUGUCACCCCACCUGUCACCCCAUCUGUCACCCUGCCAACCAACCUGUCACCCCCCUCACCCUGUCACCCCACCUGUCACCCCCCUCACCUUGUCAUCCCACCUGUCAACUCCCUCCCCUUGCCACCCCACCUGUCACCCUCUCACCCUGCCACCCCACCUGUCACCCCCUCUCACCCUGCCACCCUGAUCACCCCCUCCCCCUGCCACCCCCCCUGUCACCUCCCUCCCCCUUCCACCCCACCUGUCACCCCUCUCUCACCCUGCCACCCCAUCUGUCUCACCCUGCCACCCCCUCCCACCCUGCCAUCCCACCUGUUGCCCCCUUUCACCAUGCCACCCCUGUCACCUCUUCUCACUCCCCCUCUCACACUGUCACCCCCCCCACCUCCAACUCUGUCACCCACCCGUGUCCCCCCCCACUGUCACCCCUUACUACCCCCUACCCCUGUCACUCCCUUACCCUGCCACUCCACCUGUCACCUCCCUGUCACCCUGCCAUCCCACCUGUCACCUCCCUCUCACCAUGCCACCCCGUGUCACCACUUCUCACCCCACCUGUCACCACCUCUCACCAUGCCACCCCACCUCCCUCACCCACUCUCACCAUGUCACCCCACCUGUCACCUCCCUCUUACCUUGUCACCCCACCUCUCAUCCUGUCAUCCCCCUCACCCUGUCACCGCAACUCUUACUCUGUCACCCACCCUGUGAGCCCCCCACACUGUCACCCCCCCUUACUCUGUCACCUCCCCUGGCACUCCCCAAACAAUAUGUCACCCCCUCUCAGCCUGUCACCCUAGCUGCUCUCCACACGUUGUCAAUUUCAACACUGUCACCCCCUAACACUUUCAAUCACCCCUCUCACCUGUCAUCCCUCCUCUCUCUCCUCUGUCCCCAUCACAAACAUGCCCCAUCACAGCUGUACCCCCUCUCCUCUGUCCUGCCCCCCUUACACUAAUGUAACCCUCUCCUCCCGCUGUGUCUCUUUACUCACAUUUUUACUGUCACCCCCCCACACAGUAAUGCUAUGUCACCCCCCUCCUCCACAUUUACUGUCACCCCACACAUUUUACUGUCACCCCACACAAUGUCACUGCCCCUCACACUAAUGUCACCCCCUUCUCCUCUGUCACGCCCUACACCACUUCUCUUACCUGUCACCUCCCUUUCUCCUUCCUGGCCCACACUGUCACCCCCCCUUACUCUGUCACCUCCCCUGGCACUCCCCAAACAAUAUGUCACCCCCUCUCAGCCUGUCACCCUAACACUCUCACAUUGUCAGGCCCUAACACUAUGUCACCCCCCUAACACUGUCACCCCCUCUCACCCUGUCAUCCCUCCUCUCUCUCCUCUGUCUCCCCAUCACACGCUGUCUCCCCAUCACACGCUGUCUCCCCCUCUCACUCUGUCUACCCCCUUACACUAAUGUAACCCUCUCUCACUAUGUCACCCCCUCUCACAUUUUACUGUCACCCCCCACACAAUGUCACUGCCCCUCACACUGUCACCCCCUUCUCACUCUGUCACGCCCCUACACCACUCCUCACCCCACCUGUCACCCCCUCUCACCCUGCCACCCCACCUCUCACCCUGCCACCCCACUUGUCCCCCUCUCUCACCCUGCCACCCCACUUGUCACCCCCUCUCACCCUGCCACCCCACCUCCCUCACCCACUCUCACCAUGCCACCCCACAUGUCACCUCCCUCUCACCUUAUUACCCCACCUGUCACCCCUCACCCUGUCACCCUGCCACCCAACCUCCCACCCUGUGACCCCCCACACUGUCACCCCCCCUGCUCUGUCACCUCACCCUGUCACUCCCCAAACAAUGUCACCCCUUUACACUGUCACCCACCCUGUGACCCCCCACACUGUCACCCCCCCUUACUCUGUCACCUCACCCUGUCACUCCCCAAACAAUGUCACCCCCUUUAGCCUGUCACCCCACCUUAUUGUCAGCCCCUAACACUGUCACCCCAUCUCACCCUGUCAUCCCUCCUCUUUCUCACUCUGUCACCCUCUCACACGCUGUCACCCCCACACAGUCGCCCUCCCUCUCACACUGUCACCCCAUCACACUAUGUCUCCCCCCUCUCACUCUGUCACCCCCUUACACUAAUGUAACCCUCUCAUUAUGUCACCCCCUCUCACACCCUGUCACCCCCCCUUUUAUACCAUGCCCCUACACAAUGUCACUGCCCCCUCACACUAAUGUCACCCCCCCUCACUCUGUCACGCCCAUGCACAAUGUCCCCCUCUCACACUAAGUCUCCCCCCCUCUCCUGCAGUCACACCCUCUCACACUAUACCACCCCUUCCUCUGUCACCCAUUAUGUCUCCCCCCCUCACACACUAGGUCUCCCCCCCUCACACACUAGGUCACACCCUGUCACCCUCCUCUCACCCUGUCACCUCCUCUUACUCUGUCACCCACCACUGUCACCCACCCGUACUCUGUCACCUCACCCUGUCGCUCCACACACACUAGGUCACCCCACCUCACACUUUCACCACCUCACACUGUCACCCCUCUUAUUCUGCCACACUCUGUCACCCUCCCUCUUACUCUGUUACCCACCUUCACUAUGUCACGCUCCCUCUCACUCUGUCUCCCCCUCACUCUGUCUCCCCCUACUCUGUCUCCCCUCACUCCUCUGUCUCCCCCCCUCUCACGGAUUCUCCCCCUCUCACCUCUGUCUCCCCCCCUCUCACACUCUAUGUCACCCCCUCUCACUCUGUCACCCCCCCUCUCACUCUGUCACCCUCCCUCUCACACUCUGUCACCCUCCCUCUCACACUAGGUCUCCCAUCUUCUUACACUAGGUCUCCUUGUGGUGAAAGUGACCUUGCCACUGUUUUUUGGAGGGGCCUGUUUGCCAGCCUCCUGCCCUGCGACUAUGGCCCUGGGAUGUAUUGCCCUUCUAGGAACUGAUUUGGGCAUAAUGGAUUUUUAUAUUGCUGUUCCUGGCCCUUUAACUACUUUGGAGCAGUGUUACAAAUAUUAAAUUGGCACUUCAGAUACAGCCGAAGUAGUCGAAGUGGCCGCCAUUCGUCAAACGAACACGUGGCGGCGGCCAUUUUAACUCAUUCGAAUGCGGUCAGCGGUGUGUGCAGCCAAAUCUAUGGAACUGUUUUCGGCUACCCAAUUGCACGAACACCGCUGACCCGUACCUUCUACUCCACUUUGACACUGCGGCUGGAGACUAAGUCAUGUUCGAAGAUUCUAACGCUCAUUUUCUCAGUGUAAAAUAGACCGACCGCACAGCCCAAAUCUAUGGAACUGUUUUGGGCAUGAAAAUGUGCUUGUGGUCGGUCCUAACUUUCUAACCCCUGAACGGAUUCAUGUGAUUUUUACAUAUAUUGCUCCCCAAGUUAUGCUGAUCACAGAAAUAUAGGUUUUAUUUGUAUGUGAUGUAAAAUCAGGGAGUUAUAAAAAUUUAUAAAGUAUGAUUUUUCAGAUUGGAGAUAAUUGAGUAGAUACAGUAAGAAACUCAAUUAUCUCCCAAGCAGAGGGAAGGGAAUCUGUGGGUUGUACAGAUUGUUUGACGGCGAGACCCCAACCAAGCUGCGGCGGUCUUAUAUACACACACAAAUCAACUGCUUUUUUUUCAAUAAUGGUGUUAGUGGGGGCCUCAUGUAUGAGUUUCGCCUAAGGCCUCGCCAAGUCUAGAGCCGCCACUGAUGGAGAAUGAAUUAUUUUAUCUAUGCAAUGCUUAGUGAAUAUUCCUCUAGACAUACAGAACUAUAUAUAAAUAUAUACAGUAACGUAUGAAUGUAUUGCAUACUGAGACAUGGAUUUAAUAACAACAUAUAUUAUCCUGUAGCAACAGAUAUCUGGGCAAGCAUCCCUUGAUGGCUCCUUUGGUGAGAAAUGGCAAGGAAAUCGAGGUGAAGAAUUAAUAAAAGGCCACAGGUGUAAUUAGUACAUCUGGAGUUACCUUGCCUAACUCUCACCUGGGGCGCCAGAAAAGGGUAAUUGUUAUAGAAAAUGGCAAAUAAAGGGUUAAAAAGCCUUUUUGUCUUAUUUAAAGGAUCACUAUAGUGUCAGGAAAACAGAGCGGAUUUCCUGACACUUCCCGUGGCACUGGUCACCUCUCCUCCCCGUCCGAUGUCCUCUUCCCCGUCGGUUACUGGAGCCGAAUGCGCAUGCGCGGCAAGUGCCCAUAGGAAAGCAUUUCUCAAUGCUUUCCUAUGGACGUUCUGCACGAUGGAGGCAAAAUUCGUCUCCAGCGUCGCAGAUGCGCCUCUAGUGGCUGUCCAGAAGACAGCCACUAGAGGUUGGCUUAACCCUAAUGUAAACAUAGCAGUUUCUCUGAAACUGUUAUGUUUACAUGUGAAGGGUUAAAACCUGAGGGACUUGGCACCCAGACCCCUUCAUUGAGCUGAAGUGGUCUGGGUGACUAUAGUGUCCCUUUUAAGUAUUUCCACGUCUGGAGGGGUAAAAAGCCAGAAUUUUCUCUCUUGGCUGUACUCGAUACUCCCUUUUAUUUCACAGAGCAGUUUAACACAGGGAAGAUAACCUUUGCAUAGUUUAGAGAGGACAUGCACAGUAGAUUUCCUGUAAUACGUAAUGUUAUAUGAAUUAUUAUACGUUUUGCACUGAACGUCUAUGAUUGGGUGAUUUUGGAUUCUGUUGGAAACACCCCAGUGAACACUGUGCUUGUUUCAUAUAUAAUCUGUACCUGCAUUAAAAAAGCCAUUAUUAUUAUUAUUUUUCUGGAACUUCGUAAUGACUGGUCUGCAUUAAUUUCACACAAAGGUUAAGGAAAGCAGGAUGUGUUACGGCAUAAAUCCACGGCGGCUUAAGGGUUACAGACCCUGUAACAGCCAGAAUGGUGAAUUUCAAAUCUGAGGCUAAGAUAUCCAAACAGGAAGAAUUCUCCAAGUUACCUAUACCUCCAUUUUGGUUACUUUGGCCUUAACUUUGAAUUCCAAACAAUUCUCACUUUAGUUAAUUGUCCUGUUAAUGAUAAACCUAUGAAGUGAAAAUUACAAUUCACAAUUUAGGCAAAAAUAGCUGAUUUGGAAACCGUUCCAGCUUGACUUCUUUAGCCUGUAUUUUGCCAGUCAUUGUUCUCAGAUAAAGACUUUUUUAUUUCUCCAUUUUAUUCACCUCUUAAAGACACAAAUGUUUUCAUGGUAGAAACUUCCAUCUUGAACCAACCAUACAACGAUCUUUUUUUUACCUGACUUUAUUUUUGAAAAGUGUGAUCUUUGUGGAUAAACUCUGGUAAAUUAGUGAUUUGUUUCCAAAUUUCUAGAGUGUAGAUAUAACGAUUGUAGACCUGAUCUGUCAUCUAGAAAUUGUUCAGAAAGAAUCUGACAUAUUAUCAUAGAAUUUAUGGUAUAUAAAGUAAGUGUGAGAAUCAACCUGAUUAAAAUGGGCCGGUAACCUGGAUUUGGAAAUUUGCAUUUGUUUGUCUGCAGGGUGAGGACUAGUGCUGGAUUAUAGCAAACAUAAAUGGGGGUUUAUGGGAAAAUGGAUCCCGAUUUUUGGGAAUGAUGGGGUUUGUUAGGGGCAGGAAUACCAGGUUCUGACACUAUGUAUCCCACGGUAUAACACCGCUGAGAGAUGUUAAUCACUAAUUACUAAAGAUUUGUUCAUAGAUAGAUGCUUGCUUACUAAAUUGCAAACCUAGGGCCAAAAAAACAGAUCUAGGGAUUUUAAUUACUUUGCUAAUUUGAAUUCUCUUUUGCUCAUUUGAUGUCUGCUUGAUGCCAACAUGGACUUCAUAUACAAUACAACCUUGUCGCUACUUUUUGCUGGCAAACCACUGCUUGCUAAAAUACCUGUCACUAAUGACAGUGAGUAGCAGCUGGUUACCGACUAAUGAAUUUUAACAUGAGUCACGUCAGCCGCUUCUGAAAGCCACCGGCAUGGGAGCUGCUAACAGGGCUGCUUAGUGACUGCUCUUCAGCUGAUUUCUGUUACUGGGUGUUGAUGACCCAAAACCUUAACAGCAAUCUCUAGUCUGGUGUAACUUAAAUAUUGAGAUAUCCCUGACGGACAUCUAAUACAUUCUGGAGCAGUGCUGAGACUCCCAGAUGAUUUUCAUUUUAUUUGCUGCAAAAAAAUAAAUAAAUCACAGGAAUGGUGUUGUAAAGUGAUAAAGUUAUAGUUUAAUGUUGCUCAGCAGAUUAUUGGUCGCGGUCCCGAUGGACGUCAGGAUUCGAUAUGUUAAUAGAUAUUAAUAACCUUGAAAUAUAUGCAGAGAACUACGAUGUUGAGAAUAAUUCCGAUAACCAGAGCCGAGAUAUUCAAAAUUAGCGUUUUGUGGGAGUAUUUCGCAGCUGAAUCCAUGUCAUGCGUCAGAACAGCAUCUCGCGUCUGAAAGAGAAAGUAUUGGACAUGUAAUAACCUUUCUAAAUAACCUGUCAUUUCCCAGCUUUAAAAAAAAAGGGAAAAAAAGGCAUUAUUUUUAUAUCCCACCCACUUCCAGGGUGAGAAGGGACGGCAAGACCCCUGCCAAGCUGCGGUGGCUAAGGGGCUACGGUGCUUAUGGUGUCCAGUGUGGUGCUUAUGGUACUCGACAGCUAGCAAGCAGCGAUUGGCGGAGGCACCCAGUCGCGGUGCCAGGCAGUCUGUCACAAUGCACCCUUGCCGUGACAGCAUCCAUAUGAAGUUCGGAGCUGUUGCUUUCUUGAGCUUGUCUAUCAAACUCAGGCAGUGACAAGAACGCCAUCGCAAGUUGCGCACUCUGCAUUCCUGUGUCAUUUGUAUACUGUUACUGAAAGCCUCACUCCUGAAGCUGUUUAGUAAUAACCUCAACGAGCUUUCAUUGCCACAGAACCUGUGUUUUGGUUUUUCUGUCACAAAAGAUUAAAGGGAUACUAUAGUCACCAAAACAGCUUUAGUUUAAGUAGUUUUGGUGUAUAGAUCAUUCCUCUGAAGUCUCACUGCUCUAUUCUCUGUCAUUUAGGAGUUAAAUCACUUUUGUUUCUGUUUAUGCAGCCCUAGCCACACCUUCCCUGACUGUGACUGACACAGCCUGCAUGGAAAAAAAAAAAGGUUUCACUUUCAAUCAGACAUAACUUACUUUAAAGGUUUUUAUCCCCUGCUCUGUAACAUACUCCUGUAGGGUCUAGAAUGCUAUUAACAAUGCAGGCGAUAAGAAAUUCUGAACUGAACAGAAUUUGCAAUAAAGGAAGUCUAAACAUUGGAUGACUCUAUACAGGAAGUGUUGAGGAAGGCUGUGUAAGUCACAUGUAGGGAGGUGUGACUAGGGCUGCAUAGACAAAGUAAUUUGACUCCUAAAUGGCAGCGAAUUGAGCAAUGAUACUGCAAGGGGCAUGAUCUACACACCAAAACUGCGACAUUAAAUGAAAGUCUUUUGGUGAGGGAUAUACAACGAAAUCAUAAACAUUCAAAGAAAUCCAGCCUGCAUUAUCAGACAAGCUAUGAGCUUGAUGGAUUUUCUCACAUCCACCAUUCCAGCAAUCAAGUGGGCAAUAGCAUUACGAAGGGAAAUACUGCAAGUCUGGAACAGAGAUCCAGAAGGUUAGGAUUUGGACAUGAGAGUAACAAAAAAACUCUUAUUAGUAUUGAAAUUGAUGGACAAAACUGAAGGAUUAACCUUCAGGCAGCAGCACUGGGUCUGAUCAAGUACAGACACUUCAGGAAUACGAUGGAGAACUCAAUUGAAUUCAAUCAUGAAACAAGGUGUUUGGUCUCCAGAGGAAAAUCAUCAGUCCUCCAAACUUCAAGAAAAUGAAGGCAGUCUUAGAAGCACUGUUGGCCUUCAAAGGUCACAUAGACGGCAACUAUGUGCCGAUGCAGUUAGACAACUUGACUACAGCUAUUGAGCUAAACAAUCAAGGGGGUCCUAGAAGAGGAGUAGACAAUCAAGUGGUAGAAAAUCUGGCAAUUUGCAAUCUGACAAUCUUUCACUGGAAGCAAACCCAUUGGUCAUUAAAUCAUCACAAUUCAACAGAAUUGUGGAAUAAUUUUGAAAUCCAACCAUAGAUUUUAUGGCAACAGCAGGGAGAUACCCAGAUUUACUUUCCUCCACAGGCAAGAUUGCCCAGAUGUACUGGACGGAUCCUCAAUAAAAUGGAACUUCUUCCGUCUUUACACCCCAUGCAAUAACCAGAUGGUUUAUAUAAUCUCUAACUUUACACCCCAUGCAAUAACCAGAUGGUUUAUAUAAUCUCUAACUUUACACCCCAUGCAAUAACCAGACGGUUUAUAUAAUCUCUAACCUUACACCCCAUGCAAUAACCAGACGGUUUAUAUAAUCUCUAACUUUACACCCCAUGCAAUAACCAGACGGUUUAUAUAAUCUCUAACUUUACACCCCAUGCAAUAACCAGACGGUUUAUAUAAUCUCUAACUUUACACCCCAGGCAAUAACCAGACGGUUUAUAUAAUCUCUAACCUUACAGCCCAUGCAAUAACAAGACGGUUUAUAUAAUCUCUAACUUUACACCCCAUGCAAUAACCAGAUGGUUUAUAUAAUCUCUAACCUUACACCCCAUGCAAUAACCAGAUGGUUUAUAUAAUUUCUAACUUUACACCCCAUGCAAUAACCAGAUGGUUUAUAUAAUCUCUAACUUUACACCCCAUGCAAUAACCAGACGGUUUAUAUAAUCUCUAACUUUACACCCCAGGCAAUAACCAGACGGUUUAUAUAAUCUCUAACCUUACAGCCCAUGCAAUAACAAGACGGUUUAUAUAAUCUCUAACUUUACACCCCAUGCAAUAACCAGAUGGUUUAUAUAAUCUCUAACCUUACACCCCAUGCAAUAACCAGAUGGUUUAUAUAAUCUCUAACCUUACACCCCAUGCAAUAACCAGACGGUUUAUAUAAUCUCUAACUUUACACCCCAGGCAAUAACCAGACGGUUUAUAUAAUCUCUAACUUUACACCCCAGGCAAUAACCAGACGGUUUAUAUAAUCUCUAACUUUACACCCCAUGCAAUAACCAGACGGUUUAUAUAAUCUCUAACUUUACACCCCAGGCAAUAACCAGACGGUUUAUAUAAUCUCUAACUUUACACCCCAGGCAAUAACCAGACGGUUUAUAUAAUCUCUAACUUUACACCCCAUGCAAUAACCAGAUGGUUUAUAUAAUCUCUAACCUUACACCCCAUGCAAUAACCAGAUGGUUUAUAUAAUCUCUAACUUUACACCCCAUGCAAUAACCAGAUGGUUUAUAUACAGGGAGUGCAGAAUUAUUAGGCAAAUGAGUAUUUUGACCACAUCAUCCUCUUUAUGCAUGUUGUCUUACGCCAAGCUGUAUAGGCUCGAAAGCCUACUACCAAUUAAGCAUAUUAGGUGAUGUGCAUCUCUGUAAUGAGAAGGGGUGUGGUCUAAUGACAUCAACACCCUAUAUCAGGUGUGCAUAAUUAUUAGGCAACUUCCUUUCCUUUGGCAAAAUGGGUCAAAAGAAGGACUUGACAGGCUCAGAAAAGUCAAAAAUAGUGAGAUAUCUUGCAGAGGGAUGCAGCACUCUUAAAAUUGCAAAGCUUCUGAAGCGUGAUCAUCGAACAAUCAAGCGUUUCAUUCAAAAUAGUCAACAGGGUCGCAAGAAGCGUGUGGAAAAACCAAGGCGCAAAAUAACUGCCCAUGAACUGAGAAAAGUCAAGCGUGCAGCUGCCACGAUGCCACUUGCCACCAGUUUGGCCAUAUUUCAGAGCUGCAACAUCACUGGAGUGCCCAAAAGCACAAGGUGUGCAAUACUCAGAGACAUGGCCAAGGUAAGAAAGGCUGAAAGACGACCACCACUGAACAAGACACACAAGCUGAAACGUCAAGACUGGGCCAAGAAAUAUCUCAAGACUGAUUUUUCUAAGGUUUUAUGGACUGAUGAAAUGAGAGUGAGUCUUGAUGGGCCAGAUGGAUGGGCCCGUGGCUGGAUUGGUAAAGGGCAGAGAGCUCCAGUCCGACUCAGACGCCAGCAAGGUGGAUUACUGGUUUGGGCUGGUAUCAUCAAAGAUGAGCUUGUGGUGCCUUUUCGGGUUGAGGAUGGAGUCAAGCUCAACUCCCAGUCCUACUGCCAGUUCCUGGAAGACACCUUCUUCAAGCAGUGGUACAGGAAGAAGUCUGCAUCCUUCAAGAAAAACAUGAUUUUCAUGCAGGACAAUGCUCCAUCACACGCGUCCAAGUACUCCACAGCGUGGCUGGCAAGAAAGGGUAUAAAAGAAGAAAAUCUAAUGACAUGGCCUCCUUGUUCACCUGAUCUGAACCCCAUUGAGAACCUGUGGUCCAUCAUCAAAUGUGAGAUUUACAAGGAGGGAAAACAGUACACCUCUCUGAACAGUGUCUGGGAGGCUGUGGUUGCUGCUGCACGCAAUGUUGAUGGUGAACAGAUCAAAACACUGACAGAAUCCAUGGAUGGCAGGCUUUUGAGUGUCCUUGCAAAGAAAGGUGGCUAUAUUGGUCACUGAUUUGUUUUUGUUUUGUUUUUGAAUGUCAGAAAUGUAUAUUUGUGAAUGUUGAGAUGUUAUAUUGGUUUCACUGGUAAUAAUAAAUAAUUGAAAUGGGUAUAUAUUUGUUUUUUGUUAAGUUGCCUAAUAAUUAUGCACAGUAAUAGUCACCUGCACACACAGAUAUCCCCCUAACAUAGCUAUAACUAAAAACAAACUAAAAACUACUUCCAAAAAUAUUCAGCUUUGAUAUUAAUGAGUUUUUUGGGUUCAUUAAGAACAUGGUUGUUGUUCAAUAAUAAAAUUAAUCCUCAAAAAUACAAUUUGCCUAAUAAUUCUGCACUCCCUGUAAUCUCUAACUUUACACCCCAUGCAAUAACCAGAUGGUUUAUAUAAUCUCUAACUUUACACCCCAUGCAAUAACAGACGGUUUAUAUAAUCUCUAACUUUACAUCCCAUGCAAUAACCAGAUGGUUUAUAUAAUUUCUAACUUUACACCCCAUGCAAUAACCAGAUGAUUUAUAUAAUCUCUAACUUUACACCCCAUGCAAUAACCAGAUGGUUUAUAUAAUCUCUAACUUUACACCCCAUGCAAUAACCAGACGGUUUAUAUAAUCUCUAACUUUACACCCCAUGCAAUAACCAGACGGUUUAUAUAAUCUCUAACCUUACACCCCAUGCAAUAACCAGACGGUUUAUAUAAUCUCUAACCUUACACCCCAUGCAAUAACCAGAAGGUUUAUAUAAUCUCUAACUUUACACCCCAUGCAAUAACAUGACAGAUAUUACAAACUUUAACUUUUGUAAAAUGUACAUAUCUUCUAACCUUUCAUAUUUUAGUCUAUGCAAUAAAACAAUUAUUUUUGUGAUUUAUAUCGUUUCACCAUGUGCAAUAAUAGGAAAUAUAUAUAUUUUUUUUAAUUGAACGUUUGCAAGCACCAAUAUACAGACAUAUUAUGCAAUUUAAUGAGUUUGCAUUAGCAUCAAAGAAUUGAACCCGAGGGUGGGCUGCUUGAUGAUAGGCGUCUCACCCCGUCUGACCCCGUCUAUCCCAUGCGUUGAUAUAUUUUUUAAGCUCCAACAUUUUAUCUCUUAUUAACUGGGUGCCUAAUGGAUUUAUUUACUGUACACAACAUUUUAGUAAAUUCAAAACUAAAUGACAACAUUCAGGAUUAAACAGUCAAUUUAUAAACUAUGAACAAGCUGGAAAAGGUUUUAAAAACUACAUCAGCAGUUUGGUUUUCAAUGCAUCCCAAUUUGCUGUUUAGCAGUUAGAUCCCAUACGGGUUAUAAAGCAGAAUUGUGAAUACCUCUACAGGUCUCUUUAAAAUGUAUCCACACAUUUCAUGGUUUGUAUCACGUGUAUCAAUUACAACAUCAAAAAAUGCUAGAAUUUGCAGCAUUAUUGGAAAAAAUUUAAUUCGUCUCAACAAAUCAUGAACAGACAUCUGUUUUGUGUUUGUAUACCACUCGUUGUUAAACCGAAGCGAUCGUUUUCUAACUAAAUGCCACUUCAAAUCUCCGGGUAAAAAGUUCCACAAUCUCAGAGAUUAGAUGAUGGAUAGAAUAUAAAUGUUUGUUAAACAAAAAGUCUCUAUCGUCUAAGGAAGAUUUAACUGACCCUCACUCCUGUAAAUCCUAUCUUUGCAGGUAACCCUCCAUAGCCCUAUUACCUUGCGAGAAUAGAUGAUGGCAGCGAUCCCGAGCGGCAAACAGCAGCACACCAGGUUCAUGAUGGACCACCACAGGUAGUCACUUGUUCUCUGCUCACUUUGUGCAAAACCUAAUCCUUGAUUGCCUCCUUCUUCGGGCAUGUUUUCUUCUUCCCGAGUGCCCUUUUUGGUGGUAGUGGAGUAAUGUGCUAGAAUG